AUUUUUUUCCUUCAUUGUUGUCUUUCUUCACCAAAACCUUGGUUGUAGACAUUGAUAUACCUCUUGAUAAUGCUACGUAUAAUUGUCCAUGUGAAAAUACUGGUUCUGGUAGAUAUACUCCUACAUGUGGUAUUGUUUGGCCUUGUGAUUUAUUUAUUGUCAUAGCAAAACUAAGCUGAAUUGGAAAUUGCUUUCUUUUUAAAUGAAAAUGAUAUCCUUCAUUUUCUGCUGGAGAUAGUGGGAUUCUUGGAAGAGGAACAAGAUUACCUAAAAAUUGUCCAACUG